UAAGACUUUGUAGGGGCCAAUGUAUGGU
rnacentral:sRNA from 1 species